rnacentral:rRNA from 1 species
GAUAAACGCUGACAGAAUGCUUAACACAUGCAAGUCGAUGAUGGGAGCUAGCUUGCUAGAAGAAGUCAUGGCGGACGGGUGAGUAACGUGUAAAGAACUUACCAUAUAGACUGGGAUAACAGAGGGAAACUUCUGAUAAUACUGGAUAAGUUAGUAGUAGCAUUACUAAGUAAUGAAAGGUAGCAAUACGCUAUAUGAGAGCUUUGCAUCCUAUUAGCUAGUUGGUGGGGUAAAAGCCUACCGAGGCGAUGAUAGGUAGCCGGCCUGAGAGGGUGGACGGCCACAAGGGGACUGAGAUACGGCCCUUACUCCUACGGGAGGCAGCAGUGGGGAAUAUUGGACAAUGGAGGCAACUCUGAUCCAGCAAUUCUGUGUGUGUGAAGAAGGUUUUAGGACUGUAAAACACUUUUAGUAGGGAAGAAAAAAAUGACGGUACCUACAGAAGAAGCAACGGCUAAAUACGUGCCAGCAGCCGCGGUAAUACGUAUGUUGCGAGCGUUAUCCGGAAUUAUUGGGCUUAAAGGGCAUCUAGGCGGUAAGACAAGUUGAAGGUGAAAACCUGUGGCUCAACCAUAGGCUUGCCUACAAAACUGUUGAACUAGAGUACUGGAAAGGUGGGUGGAACUACACGAGUAGAGGUGAAAUUCGUAGAUAUGUGUAGGAAUGCCGAUGAUGAAGAUAACUCACUGGACAGAAACUGACGCUGAAGUGCGAAAGCUAGGG